AUUGAACGCUGGCGGCAUGCCUUACACAUGCAAGUCGAGCGGCAGCACGGGAGCAAUCCUGGUGGCGAGUGGCGAACGGGUGAGUAAUAUAUCGGAACGUGCCCAGUAGUGGGGGAUAACUGCUCGAAAGAGCAGCUAAUACCGCAUACGACCUGAGGGUGAAAGGGGGGGAUCGCAAGACCUCUCGCUAUUGGAGCGGCCGAUAUCAGAUUAGCUAGGUGGUGGGGUAAAGGCCUACCAAGGCAACGAUCUGUAGUUGGUCUGAGAGGACGACCAGCCACACUGGGACUGAGACACGGCCCAGACUCCUACGGGAGGCAGCAGUGGGGAAUUUUGGACAAUGGGCGCAAGCCUGAUCCAGCAAUGCCGCGUGCAGGAAGAAGGCCUUCGGGUUGUAAACUGCUUUUGUCAGGGAAGAAAUCCUCUAGGUUAAUACCCUUGGGGGGAUGACGGUACCUGAAGAAUAAGCACCGGCUAACUACGUGCCAGCCGCCGCCGUAAAAC
rnacentral:rRNA from 1 species